GACGGGGGCCCGCACAAGCAGCGGAGCAUGUGGUUUAAUUCGAAGCAACGCGAAGAACCUUACCAGCUCUUGACAUCCAGUUAAGCUUCUAGAGAUACAAGGUGUGCUUGCACAAACUGAGACAGGUGGUGCAUGGUUGUCGUCAGCUCGUGUCGUGAGAUGUUGGGUUAAGUCCCGCAACGAGCGCAACCCUUAUUUUCAGUUACUAACGAGUAAAGUUGAGGACUCUGAAGAGACUGCCGGGGACACCUCGGAGGAAGGUGGGGACGACGUCAAAUCAUCAUGCCCCUUAUGACCUGGGCUACACACGUGCUACAAUGGCCACCACAGAGAGGUGCGAACCCGCAAGGGGGAGCGGAUCUCAAAAAAGUGGUCCCAGUUCGGAUUGUGGGCUGCAACCCGCCCACAUGAAGUCGGAGUUGCUAGUAAUCGCGGAUCAGCAUGCCGCGGUGAAUACGUUCCCGGGCCUUGUACACACCGCCCGUCACACCAUGGGAGUUGGGAGUGCCCAAAGUCGCUGAGGUAACCGGAAGGAGCCAUCCGCCUAUUUUUAGACCAGUGAAGGGUUAAUCUAACAA
rnacentral:rRNA from 1 species